AUUGAACGCUGGCGGCAGGCCUAACACAUGCAAGUCGAGCGGAUAAGUGGAGCUUGCUCCAUGAUUCAGCGGCGGACGGGUGAGUAAUGCCUAGGAAUCUGCCUGGUAGUGGGGGACAACGUUUCGAAAGGAACGCUAAUACCGCAUACGUCCUACGAGAGAAAGUGGGGGAUCUUCGGACCUCACGCUAUCAGAUGAGCCUAGGUCGGAUUAGCUAGUUGGUGAGGUAAAGGCUCACCAAGGCGACGAUCCGUAACUGGUCUGAGAGGAUGAUCAGUCACACUGGAACUGAGACACGGUCCAGACUCCUACGGGAGGCAGCAGUGGGGAAUAUUGGACAAUGGGCGAAAGCCUGAUCCAGCCAUGCCGCGUGUGUGAAGGAGGUCUCCGGAUUGUAAAGCACUUUAAGUUGGGAGGAAGGGCAGUAAGCUAAUACCUUGCUGUUUUGACGUUACCGACAGAAUAAGCACCGGCUAACUCUGUGCCAGCAGCCGCGGUAACAC
rnacentral:rRNA from 1 species